rnacentral:rRNA from 1 species
GAUGAACGCUGGCGGCGUGCCUAAUACAUGCAAGUCGAGCGAACAGACGAGGAGCUUGCUCCUCUGACGUUAGCGGCGGACGGGUGAGUAACACGUGGAUAACCUACCUAUAAGACUGGGAUAACGUCGGGAAACCGGAGCUAAUACCGGAUAAUAUAUUGAACCGCAUGGUUCAAUAGUGAAAGACGGUUUUGCUGUCACUUAUAGAUGGAUCCGCGCCGCAUUAGCUAGUUGGUAAGGUAACGGCUUACCAAGGCAACGAUGCGUAGCCGACCUGAGAGGGUGAUCGGCCACACUGGAACUGAGACACGGUCCAGACUCCUACGGGAGGCAGCAGUAGGGAAUCUUCCGCAAUGGGCGAAAGCCUGACGGAGCAACGCCGCGUGAGUGAUGAAGGUCUUCGGAUCGUAAAACUCUGUUAUUAGGGAAGAACAAAUGUGUAAGUAACUAUGCACGUCUUGACGGUACCUACUCAGAAAGCCACGGCUAACUACGUG